AACGAACGCUGGCGGCAGGCUUAACACAUGCAAGUCGAACGAGAUCUUCGGAUCUAGUGGCAGACGGGUGAGGAACACGUUGGAACAUCCCUUUCAGUUCGGAAUAACGUUGGGAAACUAACGCUAAUACCGGAUACGUCCUUCGGGAGAUAGAUUUAUCGCUGAAAGAUUGGCCCGCGUCUGAUUAGCUAGUUGGUGAGGUAACGGCUGACCAAGGCUACGAUCAGAAGCUGAUCUGAGAGGAUGAUCAGCCACAUUGGGACUGAGACACGGCCCAAACUCCUACGGGAGGCAGCAGUGGGGAAUAUUGGACAAUGGGCGCAAGCCUGAUCCAGCCAUGCCGCGUGAGUGAUGACGGCCUUCGGGUUGUAAAGCUCUUUUGUCCGGGAAGAUAAUGACUGUACCGGAAGAAUAAGCCCCGGCAAACUUCGUGCCAGCCGCCGCCGUAAAAC
rnacentral:rRNA from 1 species